CGAAGGGGGCUAGCGUUGUUCGGAAUUACUGGGCGUAAAGCGCGCGUAGGCGGUUUUGCAAGCCAGGGGUGAAAUGCCUGAGCUCAACUUAGGAAUUGCCUUUGGGACUGCGAGGCUUUGAGGACUGGAGAGGUGAGUGGAAUUCCCAGUGUAGAGGUGAAAUUCGUAGAUAUUGGGAAGAACACCGGUGGCGAAGGCGGCUCACUGGCCAGUUUCUGACGCUGCAGCGCGAAAGCGUGGGGAUCAAACAGGAUUAGAUACCCUGGUAGUCCACGCUGUAAACGAUGAGUGCUAGGCGUCGGCAUGCUUGCAUGUCGGUGCCGCAGCUAACGCGUGAAGCACUCCGCCUGGGGAGUACGGUCGCAAGAUUA
rnacentral:rRNA from 1 species